AAACAAUUCACCUGUUGGGUAAACAAUCUCCAACCACAUUCCAAAGCAGCAAGCACAGGAGAAGCAAAUCAGAUAAUUAUUGUUUUCCUUUUACUCUGAGGCUUCUCAGCUUCCCAGGAGAAGAAAUCCUGGCAAAGGGAUUUUUCCAGGAAAUAUGACAGUGGCACAGGCACUGUGAAGGUUAAUGAGGCAUUGAGUAAAUAGUGGGGAGAAGAGGAAAAAAAUUGGGAUUGCUAAAGAAGAAAGGAGCUGUUUUUUCUUGAUAUUAAUCCAGAAUGAGGAGCAGGGUUUAGAGCUGGCUCAGGAAGGCAGAGUUACCUGUGCUCUGCUCCUGGCAGAGGGAGCACAAACAAGUUAUUGGGAUAUAAUAUUCUCACUGAUUAGGUAAUAGCAUGGCAAAGCAAGGAAAAUAUUUUAUGGCAAACUUAAAUAGCAGUGGAUUCAGGUUCAGGAGGACAGGGGAUUAAGAGAAGGGACUUCAUCUGGUCAGGGUAGAUAGUGGCCAUUAACCUGUCCUCUGGAGGAUGUGCUGAGCCUGAAUAACAGGAGUGCAUUCGUGUGUGUAUGAGUUUCCCUAGCUUGUUUUUCUAAUCUAUUGUAGUCUCAAGCAAUUCUUAAAUUGUGGCUUCCUUCUUCCUUGCCUCACUCCCUCCCCCGUCUGUUUUCCUUUAGUCUGCUUAUGGGCUUAUAAGUAGGAAAUAGAAUUAAUCAACCGCUUACGCUAUAUGUGAAAAGGUGACAUACCUAAAUCUAAUUAUGCAGGAGAAGUUAAUGAAUGCCACCUCACUGGUGCAUUGCCAUCAGCAAUGCCCACCCUAUUUUCUUUGCAUUUCCUACAGGGCCUGCAGUGUAGGCAGGAGAGGGGAAAACUAUUCCAUUCUAAAUACUGUAAAAUGUAAAUACUGUAAAAUUAGACAGCCAUAUAUUUUACUUUUCCUGGUAGCCAAUUUGCAGGAAAGCAAGUGAUAUAAAAUAAUAAUACUGUAAUAAACCAUCUCAUCUAUUGUUGUGAAUUUAGAGUGCUCAAACUUAGAUAAGAUCUGUACUAAUUAGAAUGCUGCAGCCAAACCUUCCCUGCUACUGGUACAACACUGAUAAAUCCCAAUGCAAAUUUGUAAAAAAAGUGUUGAUUCAUUUCUUAAGUGCAUCUUUUUUAAGCCAUGCAGUUUUUUGGAAGUGUACUGGGAUUUCUUUUGAAGCACAUCUUGACUUUUAAUAAAUAUAUCAAAAGUACUUUAAAAUAUAUCAUAGCUAAUUCUGCUCUCCCACAAAUCCAUCACUUUUUAUUGCCUUUUAACUAAUUCACCCUUUUCCACAGCCGAGAGGAAAUAGUUUAAAUCUCUUGAUGGUAUGUUUUUCUUUCAAUUUUUCUGGUUGUAAAUGUUUAGGGGGAAAAAAAUCACCUAAUAUAUCACUGUUAAAAGAAAGGACAGAAAUGUGUUCCUCGUGACACCUUGGCUAACUGGACUGUAAUAUAUCCAAAGAUACCAGGUAAAAGGGCAAUGCUGGGGCAGCUCACAGUGCACCAAGGUGAUUUAGGAAACCAGUUCCUGUGGCUGGCUGAUUCCUGGGAUGGAGAGGUGCAGGACUAAAAUCCAGCCCUGACAAAACCCUGGGAUCUCACCUGGACUUGGUUUGCAUUGCAAUCUCUUGCAUUUCUGCUGUUUGCUGUGAGCUCUUCUGGGCUGUUUGUGCAGGAAGAGAAAUACCUGCAAGUCCAAGUGAGGUGCUUGGACCUUUAAUUGCAUUCAGUUAAUGCCUGGCGAGUGUCCUAUGAUUUGCAAAAAUCAUCUGUUCCUUAAUCCUCUUCAGUGCCAAGGGUUAUUAGGAAGGGACUGCAAAGAAGAUGAGAAAUUGGAACGUUUGUAUGUUGUGGAAUGAAUGAGAGAAUCCUCAAGUGGCUUAAGAAUGAUUGGAGUUUUCCUUUUAACCUGUGGUAACAUUUGGAUUAUCAAAACAAGUGUUAUAAAAAUUGAAGAUGACCUCUAGCUGAGCAAUGCUUUCCCUUAAACCUUGGGAGAAAGCACAGAGAAAUGACAGCAGGAGCUGACUGCUGCCCAUUGCCACAGCACUGAGGUGGAUGCACAGAGCUCUGCUGGGUUUAAGACACAGUCUGAGUGAGUUUCUUUUCUCAUAUGCACACCUAAGAUAUGUCUCCAAGGCACAUGUGUGAGAUUUCCCACUUUUUGCUCUCUGAAAACUUUGCAAUCUGUUGCACAGUUCACAAGGGGAGGAGGAAAAGCUUUAUUUCAUGGAAAGGAGCGAGGCAAUGAGUUAAGAGCUGUCAUUUUGGGCUUGCCAUCCUUGCUCUUAGUGCCCAGGCCGAAUAGCUGCAGGGUUUCUGGGCUGCUGCAAACAGCAUUAGCAGCUGGCUCUGGGCUGUGAUGGACAGCUGAUAGGUGUUUCACAAAUGAGCUGCUCUGCAUUGAUGCAAUCUCUGUGAGCCCAGCUCCAGCGGCUGGGAGGAUGUGUGUGAGAGGGGAAGGGAAAAUGUCAGCAAGGCUGCUGGAUGCACACGUUAAUUUGCACUAAUCUGUCUGGGAGGAGCUGUGCCUGCAGCUCUGCAGCCUGUGAUGCACAGCGAGGAGCUGCCUUAUCAGGCACGGAGCCACACGCUCCUGGCAGUGUUCCAGGGGCUUCUCAUUGAUCAAACAGGGGCUUGCACACAGGAAACAACUUUAAAGGGAAAUAUUGUAUGCCAGGGAGCUUUAAAGUUACUCCUUUUCCCCGUAGUUAUACAAUUAUGAAUUCUGUAACGUGCACCGUGCUGCAGUACAAUGACAGUAACACAGUUUUGGUUCAGCUUGCAGAUAAGAUGUGGUGGGAGCUGAGAUUUCCAGACUCAGACACGCUUCUGAGAUAUCACUGGGUUACCAAAGCUGCUUGAUUUACGAGGAAGUUGGAGUAAAGCACGGGAUACCUGGACUAAUUACUGGAAGAAAGCAGCCUGAGGUGCUGAUUAGCAUCCAGCACCAGCUGGCAGGUAAAUUUCCAAGGCUUCUGUCCAGAAACAGGAAUGUGGAAAGCAUGGAGAAUAAACAACCUGUAAGCAUCAAAAUCUGCAAACAGACCUUUAUUCUCACUGCUGCAUCCAUUUCUGCCUUGAGGCAGUGAAGAGAGCUCCUGUUUGCUCUGCAUCCCUGCACAGUUCCACUGAAAUUGAAUCAUCUCCAAUGUAUCUGCUAAACCCUGGCUAAAGACAAGAAGGUCUGAACACAGCAAGAACUCAGUAAUGAAGUACCCAGGAGAACUUGUGGAAGGAAGAAGCAAUGGAGCUGAGAGUGAGCACCAACCUGGUCAGCAGAUCAGAAGUUAUGUUCAGCUCCCAGCAUCCUGCUGUCAGCCUGGAAUGCUGCUGGAAAUUCCAUGCAGUUGUGCUGCCUUCACAGCAAAGCCUCCAGCCAGAUGAAAUUUGUAUGUGUGAGGAGUCUGUGCUGGGUGGAAACACCUGGAAUACUGCAGGUACCUCUUGGUUGAAGAACAAGCAUCCACGAAUAAAUGUGAUUUUGAAUUGUCCCAUUGACUGACCAACAGCCCCUUUCCUGCUGGGGCUCAGCAGUGCUGCUCUUCCCAUGUCUGCACAGACACCGUGUAGGCUGAAAAUUAAAUGAGAAGACAAAAAAAAUCACCUUAAACGUACAAUGUUCCCUACAGGGUUGUGUUUAUGCAACAGAGAGAGCCAAGGAGAAGAUAUGACCCAUGUACUCUGGUUAUAGAGCUAUCAUCUUAUGGGAAUUUAAUGGUUUGGUAAUCCUAGGUUCUCCUUUGGGACUCUGGCCUAUGUCUGUGUUGAUAUUUGAACCUGCAGGAGCUGAGGCCUAAACCAAGUUCUUCAAACAAAAUGCCAUAACAUUGCCAAGGCAAAGGGAAUAACUGUGGUGGAAGAUACACGGAAAAGCAAAUUCAGUGAGUAGAGAAGUUGUAGCUACUCAGACAUGCGAAGGGAAAAACAUUCACUGAAGAAGCAGAGUGGAACUCUCCUCCAUUUAAAUGUACUCACUGACUGAAGUGGGAAUCCAGAGGAAUUUUCCUUCAGAUAUAACAAGAACAUUUUGAUAUAUGGAAAUGCUGUCUCCAACACAAAAAUAGCUGGUUCUUCUUCUCUACUAUUCCUGCGUCAA